CACGUAGGCGGACCGGAAAGUUGGGGUGAAAUCCCGGGGCUCAACCCCGGAACUGCCUUCAAACUAUCGGUCUGGAGUUCGAGAGAGGUGAGUGGAAUUCCGAGUGUAGAGGUGAAAUUCGUAGAUAUUCGGAGGAACACCAGUGGCGAAGGCGGCUCACUGGCUCGAUACUGACGCUGAGGUGCGAAAGCGUGGGGAGCAAACA
rnacentral:rRNA from 1 species